GGGAACUUGGUCUAGUGGUAUGAUUCUCGUUUAGGGUACGAGAGGUCGCGGGUUCAAUUCCCGCAGUUCCCC